CGUAGCCUCGUCCGUCGACCGGUAACCGAUCGGCGUAACGCGUAUACCGUCAUUAUGGUAUCCUGUUGUGCAUGGUUUUCGCCGGUCGCGUUUCCCCCGCAAACGGUAUCCGAACGCACGCGGCCCGACGCCGGCACUCGAUCACUGAAGCCCUGGUACCCAGAAAUCAAAGCCGUGCAAUAACAAGCAAAAACCCAAUCGAACACAUAUUUUUCUAUAUUAUUGAUGUCAAUAACAUUGAUGUCCACGCUCGUCGAAAUCGAAUACCCAACCGGAACACGGAACAACGUGAUUCCCGCCCGCUGGUCAUUAAUGCGUUAUUAUUAUUUUCGACGCCGGUGCGCAACCUACCUCGGCCGAACGAAACCUGAUCUGCCAGUGAUCACGAUAUCAAUCUUAUUUUUACCCAAUGUAUCGACUAAUUUAAUGUUUUUUAGAAAUGUGAUUACAAUUUAUCUUCAUUAAUUAUGGGACUGAGCCAUGAUGAACUGUGGUCUGUGAAGUCAAAAUACGCCAUUAUUGAGAGAAUUAUUGGUUUUAUCACAGAAAAUUGUGGCCCUUUAUAUACGGCUUCAUUUAUCUAAAUACAGCCAGCGAUCUUGGCCUGCGGAUGAGAGAUGUCGACCACUCGUUCAUGGGACGCUGGUAUCCGGAGCCGUUUGAAUUUAUGCCUUGCCGUACCGUUCUGCGCAACACACACCGACGUGGGGACGACACAUCGGUUGCUGCGAAUGGGUGCGCCAUGCACAUUGCACACGCGUGUCUCCGGCGACGUCCGCCGACGAACACUCACGGCCUACUCGCGUGCAUGAGGCCCUGGUACUUGUGUGUCCCCGUUGCGAGUACAAAGACGUGUACACACGUGUAUUUGACUCGCACACGUAUCACACGUCAUGUACGCUCCGCCACAACUUCUACCGAAUUUCCUUCGAUCGACCAUGAUUGGCGGCAGACGGCCGAAAAGUAACGAUAUUGUAAUUUUUUUUGUUUUCGGAAUUUAAUAAAUCUACGGACGUAAUUUACGUUAUUAUAAAUUAUAUUAUAAUAUAUUAUUAAUUAUAUUAUAUUAUAUUUUUGUAUUUUACGUGUCUUAUUACUGAAAAAUGUUUUUUCGCUAACACGA